CAAUUACAGAUGAGGGUUUUCCUGGGCUUUGAGAAUAUUUUGGUGAUUCCAUAUGCUUCUAUACAGACCUGGGUAUUGACUGAACAUCAAAAUGUAUUUUAAGAUCUGGUUCCUCAGAAGGCACUGCCAUCUUUAUGAUGAAAAGACCACUCCAUACAAUUCACGUGAAAGCACAUGGAUUUCCUUCUCUAAUAUUGUCAUAUGUAGGAAGACAAGUGAGAGCCACAUAGCACACAGGCAUGAAGGGCUCCCCAGGGACUCUCAUCUGUUACAGACUGGGCUGUACCUGCCUGCCUGUGUGAAAGUUGCUCAGCUGCUGCCCGGAUGAGGGGAACAUAUCACAUCUAUCUCCCUGGCAUCCGCUGAGCCCGCGGCCUGCAAGGAUCAUGCCCCACGUGGAGCACAAAGGCAGGUCUGAAGAGAAAGGCCGACCUUGUGCAUUGUCGGAUGCUCUUUGUGUUGGACGCUGGGGGUCAGCGCUUGCUCCACAUUCUUGCUUACUCUGUGAGACAGGAGGAGAGUUCCCGUGUGCAGGGUGAGGUCACUGUCUUCCUCUGGACAAAAAUGCAAGAUGAUUAAUGGUCAGCCAUUUCCCUACUAUUUAUACCACAGCAUAAAACUUAGGACAUCAAUACAGCUGACAGUUUUGAAACCAG
rnacentral:lncRNA from 1 species